UUUCGGUCGUUUGAAUUUGGGUUGUUUAGUUUAACGACGUUUCGGUCGUUUGGAUUUAGUUGUUUAGUUUAACGACUUUACGGUCGGUUAGAUUUGAGAGGUUUUGGAUUUCGGGAUUUUAUUUGUGGACUUUAGGUUUUGGGUUCUAUUUGUGGACUUUAGGUUCUGGGAUCUUAUUUGUAGACUUUGGGUUUUGUGUUUUAUUUGUGGACUUUGGGUUUUACUUAUAGUCCGAAAUGGAUUGG
rnacentral:lncRNA from 1 species